GUUUCCGUAGCUCAGCCGGAUAGAGCGUCCGUCUUCUAAGCGGAAGGUGACCUAAAACCUCCGGCACCA
rnacentral:tRNA from 1 species